AAGCCAACCCCAAUUAAAUGUUGUCCUUGUAAGAGUUGCCUUGGUGGAAAACAAAGUGUGGGCAAUGGCAGUCCUGUGUAAACUGUGGGUCUGGAAAACUGUCUGAACUCCUUUAUUCAGGUAGAGGCCCCAGAACAGAAAGGAACUGAGGCAAAACCAGACAGAGUAACCCUGUCCCUGCAGCAGAGACUGGUGGGACGUGUAUAGCAGGGUGUACCCCUUUCAGUUCUAGUUGCUCCAGCAAACACAGUUCACCUAGUGGGACUGUUGCUGCCAGAGUGACACCUUUUAAUUACAACCCUAGCCCUAGGAAAAGCCGCGAAGACAGCACUUCAGCCCGGCUGUCUCAGAUCCCUACGCCAGUGAGCAGCAACACAGAGAAGAGAGAUUCAAAGACUGACAGCACAGAAUCCAGUGGAGCCCAAAGUCCUAAACGCCAUUCCGGGUCUUCCCUCGUGACGUCUGUUUAA
rnacentral:lncRNA from 1 species